AACGAACGCUGGCGGCAUGCCUAACACAUGUAAGUCGAACGAGACCUUCGUGUCUAGUGGCGCACGUGUGCGUAACGCGUGGGAACCUGCCCUUAGGUUCGGUAUAACUUCCCGAAAGGGGUGCUAAUACCGGUUAAUGUCUUCGGACCAAAGAUUUAUCGCCUUUGGAUGGGCCCGCGUUGGAUUAGCGAGUUGGUAGGGUACAAGCCUACCAAGGCGACGAUCCAUAGCUGGUCUGAUAGGAUGAUCAGCCACACUGGGACUGAGACACGGCCCAGAAUCCUACGGGCGGCAGCAGUGGGGAAUAUUGGACAAUGGGCGAAAGCCUGAUCCAGCAAUGCCGCGUGAGUGAUGAAGGCCUUAGGGUUGUAAAGCUCUUUUACCCGGGAUGAUAAUGACAGUACCGGGAGAAUAAGCUCCGGCUAACUCCGUG
rnacentral:rRNA from 1 species